rnacentral:rRNA from 1 species
AUUGAACGCUGGCGGCAGGCCUAACACAUGCAAGUCGAACGAGUGGCGGACGGGUGAGUAAUGUCUGGGAAACUGCCCGAUGGAGGGGGAUAACUACUGGAAACGGUAGCUAAUACCGCAUACCAUCGGAUGUGCCCAGAUGGGAUUAGUUAGUAGGUGGGGUAACGGCUCACCCAGGCGACGAUCCCUAGCUGGUCUGUGAGGAUGACCAGCCACACUGGAACUGUGACACGGUCCAGACUCCUACGGGAGGCAGCAGUGGGGAAUAGUGCACAAUGGGCGCAAGCCUGAUGCAGCCAUGCCGCGUGUAGUAAGAAGGCCUUCGGGUUGUAAAGUACUUUCAGCGAGGAGGCGUUACUCGCAGAAGAAGCACCGGCUAACUCCGUGCCAGCCGCCGCAGUAAUAC